rnacentral:rRNA from 1 species
GAUGAACGCUGGCGGCGUGCCUAAUACAUGCAAGUCGAGCGAACAGAUGAGGGGCUUGCUCCUCUGACGUUAGCGGCGGACGGGUGAGUAACACGUGGAUAACCUACCUAUAAGACUGGGAUAACUACGGGAAACCGGAGCUAAUACCGGAUAAUAUAUUGAACCGCAUGGUUCAAUAGUGAAAGACGGUUUUGCUGUCACUUAUAGAUGGAUCCGCGCCGCAUUAGCUAGUUGGUAAGGUAACGGCUUACCAAGGCAACGAUGCGUAGCCGACCUGAGAGGGUGAUCGGCCACACUGGAACUGAGACACGGUCCAGACUCCUACGGGAGGCAGCAGUAGGGAAUCUUCCGCAAUGGGCGAAAGCCUGACGGAGCAACGCCGCGUGAGUGAUGAAGGUCUUCGGAUCGUAAAACUCUGUUAUUAGGGAAGAACAAAUGUGUAAGUAACUAUGCACGUCUUGACGGUACCUAAUCAGAAAGCCACGGCUAACUACGUG